rnacentral:rRNA from 1 species
AGACGGAGGGGGCAAGCGUUGUUCGGAAUUACUGGGCGUAAAGGGCGCGUAGGCGGCUGGGUCAGUCGCGUGUGAAAGGCCGGGGCUCAACUCCGUGCACUGCAUUCGAUACUGCUUGGCUAGAGAGAGGUAGAGGCGAGCGGAAUUCCCGGUGUAGCGGUGGAAUGCGUAGAUAUCGGGAAGAACAUCUGCGGCGAAGGCGGCUCGCUGGGCCUCAUCUGACGCUGAAGCGCGAAAGCGUGGGGAGCAAACAGGAUUAGAAACCCCGGUAGUCC